rnacentral:rRNA from 1 species
AAUCGCGGAUCAGCAUGCCGCGGUGAAUACGUUCCCGGGCCUUGUACACACCGCCCGUCACACCAUGAGAGUCGAUAACACCCGAAGCCUGUAGUCUAACAGCAAUGAGGAACGCAGUCGAAGGUGGGAUUGAUAAUUAGGGUGAAGUCGUAACAAGGUAAC